rnacentral:rRNA from 1 species
GGGGAAUAUUGCGCAAUGGGGGGAACCCUGACGCAGCAACGCCGCGUGAAGGAAGAAGGUCUUCGGAUUGUAAACUUUUGUCUUCGGGGACGAAAAAAAGACGGUACCUGAGGAGGAAGCUCCGGCUAACUACGUGCCAGCAGCCGCGGUAAUACGUAGGGAGCGAGCGUUGUCCGGAAUUACUGGGUGUAAAGGGAGCGUAGGCGGGAUCGCAAGUCAGAUGUGAAAACUAUGGGCUUAACCCAUAAACUGCAUUUGAAACUGUGGUUCUUGAGUGAAGUAGAGGUAAGCGGAAUUCCUAGUGUAGCGGUGAAAUGCGUAGAUAUUAGGAGGAACAUCAGUGGCGAAGGCGGCUUACUGGGCUUUAACUGACGCUGAGGCUCGAAAGCGUGGGGAGCAAACAGGAUUAGAUACCCUGGUAGUCCACGCCGUAAACGAUGAUUACUAGGUGUGGGGGGACUGACCCCUUCCGUGCCGCAGCAAACGCAAUAAGUAAUCCACCUGGGGAGUACGACCGCAAGGUUGAAACUCAAAGGAAUUGACGGGGGCCCGCACAAGCAGUGGAGUAUGUGGAUUAAUUCGAAGCAACGCGAAGAACCUUACCAGGUCUUGACAUCGUAUGCAUAGCUCAGAGAUGAGUGAAAUCUCUUCGGAGACAUAUAGACAGGUGGUGCAUGGUUGUCGUCAGCUCGUGUCGUGAGAUGUUGGGUUAAGUCCCGCAACGAGCGCAACCCUUACUGUUAGUUGCUACGCAAGAGCACUCUAGCAGGACUGCCGUUGACAAAACGGAGGAAGGUGGGGAUGACGUCAAAUCAUCAUGCCCCUUAUGACCUGGGCCUCACACGUACUACAAUGGCUGUCAACAGAGGGAUGCAAAGCCGCGAGGUGGAGCGAACCCCUAAAAGCAGUCUUAGUUCGGAUUGUAGGCUGCAACCCGCCUACAUGAAGUCGGAAUUGCUAGUAAUCGCAGAUCAGCAUGCUGCGGUGAAUACGUUCCCG